UUGGGUCAGACCAAGUCAUGACUCAGAUAUGCUAAUACGCCCCUACCUAUACAAAAUCAGGGAAAUAGAAACAAACUUUUAAAAAUAUCUUCUUAUAGUGGGCCUGUAUAACACGGGCAUAUAAACUUGUUAGUCGGUAGAAAUAAGUCAGUUGCUAAAGACAGACAGCUGUAAUUAUGGGUGAUAAAAAAAUGACUCAGUUAACAUCAGAAAAAACUGAUUGUACCGUCCAGGGUAAUAAUUCUACCAACCAGGUACAGUAUGGUCGAAUGAUUGCUUCACAUUGCACAAUAUGGACAGACUAUUAUAUGCAACUGGUGGAUGAUUUCAAAGCUGACCUCCCCAAGAUACUGGGUCAGUUUAUUACUUGUCGUAUCAUUAGCGAUGACGAUAAAGAUCAAGUAGAAAGAAAAAAGACGGCCGAUGGAAAUUUCAAUGCAGCUAUAAAUCUUGUGGACAUACUGUUCCAUAGAGGCCAUGAUGUCUUACCAAGAAUAAUAGCUGCAAUGAGGAGCGCUGGACACAACGACAUGGCCAUAAAGCUCGACACUGCUUUGCCUAUUGAUACUAGAAUAAUAUAAUAUAAUAGAAUAUAAUAGAAAAGCUGAAAAUAAACAAUUUGAUUUUU